UGCAAACGCAAAAGUAUAUACACAUACUUGUUAUUGUUUGCAAGAUUCCUUUUUUAUUUACAUAUUUACAAGCGAAUAACUGCUGCAUAUUUUCAAGUUCAAAGGUCAUGCAAAUUAGUUUUAAAAAUUGCCACCUGCUAGCAAUAAAAAAAAAAAACUAAAAAAAGUACUUUGAUGGGAGAGGGAAUGAAAUGCUACCGCGGAAGAGAACACAAUAGGAACGAAGUUAAGAAGAGUAAAUCAAGCGCAAGUUGUAACAGCUGUCGCAUCUAAUUUUGUUGAAAAUUUUGCUAAAAAUCUACCUCUCACGUGACGCAUCAACAGACGCGUAAAGAGCAGCUGUUGCCGACUGCGUUACUAUCGAAUUUUAAGGAGGACAAUGAAACGUCUUUAACACAGUUUUGUGUUUUUUUAAUCAUAACGAGAUUAAUGAAUAGUUGCAGCCAAAUACUUAAGCCUUAAAAGACUGUGAUUGAAUUUAAGUAGGCUCAAUAUUGAUGAGAUUGACUGGUGAAUUUUAUUUACAUUUAUGAAAUUGCUUGAGUGGAUUGGAAACGUAACAUUUGAGAAAAUAGCUUAACUUUUUUUAAGAAACCGCACGUAAUUCGAACCAUACACGUAUUUGAAACAAAUUUCAGCGUCUCUUUGUGCGUAAAGGACCCUGGUUUCCAUUUGUCGGAAAAAAAGAGAUUCCAUUCUGGGUUCACAAUUGCGCAACGAUAAAGAAAUUCAAAUAAAUUGGUCCUAAAUGUACUGAAGCUUCAUUUCGAAGUGGCCAAAUUGUGAGCAAACUCUGUACCCAUCUUUUACAAAGUUCGUUAUUUCUAAAAUAUCAAACCCAGACGCUUCUUCUGCUUGUUGUAAAGGACUGAAUGCCGCUUGUUGAUCACCCUCAAGUCAGCAGAUAUCCGAACGCGGCCUUUGAUGAUAUGUGAUGAUCUGAAAGACGCGAUAUUAUCAGCAAUUGUAUUUCCAUGUAUAGCCAUGUGACUAGACACCCACAGAAAAUAAAAACAAAAUGCAUGAUUUGAAAUUGUAUAGCAAAGAAAUGAUCUCUAGUACAUAAGGAUGUGUGUCACAUGGAGGAAACGAUUGUGAAACAGAUAAGAUUGGCCUAGUGUUCGACAUUAUAAGAAACUUUUUCCAUGGGUGACCUCGGAAGGAUUUGAGUCUUUUUCAAUGCUAACGUACGAACUUGCAAUGUGUCUGCCAAAUUUGAAACCGAUAGAUUCAUUUUUGCGGCCAGCAGAAAGCUUAUACGAAAAAAUACACAUACGAGCAGACAAAGAAGCUUCAAUCGAUUUAGAAGGUGACUCUGAUUAAGAAAAUAUGUACUUUGCGAGAUCUUUGAAGAUUCCUUCUGGGAGGUGCAACGUUUUGACAAAGUAGGUUCAAGCUUGCUUAAUACGAGCGUGAAGAUAUCGAGCUUUUCAAAGCGGAAUUCAACCAGAAGACCUUGAACUUCUUAUCGAUAUGGAAGUACUAUAAAUUGUAUGAUGCACUUAUUCGAAUUUUACACGAAACUUGCAAUUGUUUGCUCUCAAAGUUUAAUUAGUUGUAAAUAUGCCGUAGUUAAAGCAGACAACUGCUCACAGGUAAAAUUACACUUCUCGUUUGCAUGUGCUUGGUUCCGAUGCCAGAAUGAACGCAAUAUUUGCUAAAUAGCCAAAAAUGAGUUUGAAUAAAACUAUCUAACCAUUUCGAAGCUUAAUAAUAAACUUAAGUUUAUUAGCAUAAUUUUGGCAUAUUGACGAAGACGAUUUUAUAGGAAAAAUCUAAUCUUUUAUGAUUAAGAUUUAGAGUUAAAUAUGUCAGAGAGCGGGAUCAACAAUCCAACGUAAACUGAAAUACAAAAUGCAGAGAGGCCAUUAGGAGGCUUGGCGUAAAGGCGUCCAACGUAAAACAAUAUUUUUUCUUUUAUCAUGGCUUAAGAAGAUUAAAUAUCAAAAAAUUU